AGGUGCGAUCAUACCGGCACUAAUGCACCGGAUCCCAUCAGACCUCCGCAGUUAAGCGUGCUUGGGCAAGAGUAGUACUAGGAUUGGUGACCUCCUAGGAAGUCCUCGUGGCUCGUUCG
rnacentral:rRNA from 2 species